rnacentral:tRNA from 1 species
UGGUUCUGUCAGCCGAACACCUGUCUUGCAAACAGGAGGACCCGAGUUCAAAUCUCAG